AACGUACGCUGGCGGCACGCCUAACACAUGCAAGUCGAACGAAGUAGCAAUACUUAGUGGCAGACGGGUGAGUAACAUGUGGGUAUCUGCCCUUUGGCCUGGAAUAACACGAGGAAACUUGUGCUAAUACCGGAUAAGUCUUUACGGAGAAAGCUUUAUGCACCAUUGGAUGAGCCCGCACUUGAUUAGUUUGUUGGUGGGGUAAUGGCCUACCAAGACUUUGAUCAAUAGCUGAUUUGAGAGGAUGAUCAGCCACAUUGGGACUGAGACACGGCCCAAACUCCUACGGGAGGCAGCAGUGGGGAAUCUUGCACAAUGGAGGAAACUCUGAUGCAGCGAUGCCGCGUGAGUGAAGAAGGCCCUUGGGUUGUAAAGCUCUUUCGUCGGGGAAGAAAAUGACUGUACCCGAAUAAGAAGGUCCGGCUAACUUCGUGCCAGCAGCCGCGGUAAUACGAAGGGACCUAGCGUAGUUCGGAAUUACUGGGCUUAAAGAGUUCGUAGGUGGUUGAAAAAGUUGGUGGUGAAAUCCCAGAGCUUAACUCUGGAACUGCCAUCAAAACUUUUCAGCUAGAGUUUGAUAGAGGAAAGCAGAAUUUCUAGUGUAGAGGUGAAAUUCGUAGAUAUUAGAAAGAAUACCAAUUGCGAAGGCAGCUUUCUGGAUCAUUACUGACACUGAGGAACGAAAGCAUGGGUAGCGAAGAGGAUUAGAUACCCUCGUAGUCCAUGCCGUAAACGAUGUGUGUUAGACGUUGGAAAUUAAUUUUCAGUGUCGCAGCGAAAGCGAUAAACACACCGCCUGGGGAGUACGACCGCAAGGUUAAAACUCAAAUGAAUUGACGGGGACCCGCACAAGUAGUGGAGCAUGUGGUUUAAUUCGAAGAUACGCGCAGAACCUUACCAACACUUGACAUGUUCGUCGCGACUUUAAGAGAUUAAAGUUUUCGGUUCGGCCGGACGAAACACAGGUGCUGCAUGGCUGUCGUCAGCUCGUGUCGUGAGAUGUUGGGUUAAGUCCCGCAACGAGCGCAACCCUCACUUUUAGUUGCCAUCAUUUAGUUGGGCACUCUGAAAGAACUGCCAGUGAUAAGCUGGAGGAAGGUGGGGAUGACGUCAAGUCCUCAUGGCCCUUACGUGUUGGGCUACACACGUGCUACAAUGGUAUCUACAACAGGAAGCGAAACAGCGAUGUUAAGCAAAUCCUUAAAAGAUACCUCAGUUCGGAUUGCACUCUGCAACUCGAGUGCAUGAAGCUGGAAUUACUAGUAAUCGUGGAUCAGCGUGCCACGGUGAAUGCGUUCCCGGGUCUUGUACACACCGCCCGUCACACCAUGGGAGUUGGUUCUACCUUAAGGCAAGGUUUAAUACCCUUGACCACGGUAUAGUCAGCGACUGGGGUG
rnacentral:rRNA from 1 species